GGGACACGUGGUAUCCUGUCUGAAUAUGGGGGGACCAUCCUCCAAGGCUAAAUACUCCUGACUGACCGAUAGUGAACCAGUACCGUGAGGGAAAGGCGAAAAGAACCCCGGCGAGGGGAGUGAAAAAGAACCUGAAACCGUGUACGUACAAGCAGUGGGAGCACGCUUAGGCGUGUGACUGCGUACCUUUUGUAUAAUGGGUCAGCGACUUAUAUUCUGUAGCAAGGUUAACCGAAUAGGGGAGCCGAAGGGAAACCGAGUCUUAACUGGGCGUUAAGUUGCAGGGUAUAGACCCGAAACCCGGUGAUCUAGCCAUGGGCAGGUUGAAGGUUGGGUAACACUAACUGGAGGACCGAACCGACUAAUGUUGAAAAAUUAGCGGAUGACUUGUGGCUGGGGGUGAAAGGCCAAUCAAACCGGGAGAUAGCUGGUUCUCCCCGAAAGCUAUUUAGGUAGCGCCUCGUGAAUUCAUCUCCGGGGGUAGAGCACUGUUUCGGCAAGGGGGUCAUCCCGACUUACCAACCCGAUGCAAACUGCGAAUACCGGAGAAUGUUAUCACGGGAGACACACGGCGGGUGCUAACGUCCGUCGUGAAGAGGGAAACAACCCAGACCGCCAGCUAAGGUCCCAAAGUCAUGGUUAAGUGGGAAACGAUGUGGGAAGGCCCAGACAGCCAGGAUGUUGGCUU
rnacentral:rRNA from 1 species